GUCUGCUACUCUGCCUUUGUAUCUCAUUCAAGGGACUGGACACUUUCUUUUAUGCAGUUGAAGAAGAACAUCACUGGCAGAUAUGGUAUGAUUGCAGAAAAGAAUACAUCUAUCUUUGUUUUCUUUAAGGACCUCAUUCAAACAAUAGCGUCUUGAGGAUUGGACGACACACCACAGAGCUCUUGAGAACUUUACACAAUGAAGGACUUGCAGCUUUAGGGGAAGCAGCAAAAUCAGAUUAUAUUAGAGUUGGGAAUUGGUUAAGGAAGAUCGUAAAGGGCUGUUAACAGAGUUUUUCUUCUUCUUUAUCUACAUUACUGUUUCAAUAUUGGAGGCAGCAGAUGCAACCACGGAGAGGAACAUGAAGAGAUUUAUAGAUUUUUGAUUUUUGAUGUUGUAUUUUAUUUGAAAUUGUAUUUGAAUUGUACAGUACAUUUUAGAAAUAUAGCUGGGUCAAAUUGUUUUUUUUUUUUUAAUAUAUCCCCAUGUUUUGCCACUGAUGUUGGUGGCAUUGAGAAGACACACACUGAUACAAUAACAGUGGGAGAGAAAAAGGUUAUAUGCUGCAUUGAGUUUUGGUAUGCCACUGUUGUUUUAACAGUGUGGAUUGUCCCAAUAGCACCUACAAUAGAGGGGACUGUUAUCUCAUUAGUGGCUGCAUAGUGGCUAAUGACAUUAGCCACUAUUAUCAGUGUGCUUUGUCCCAAUAGGGACUAAUUCAAAUCAGUGUGCUUUGGGGAAAUUUGUA